rnacentral:rRNA from 1 species
AUGCCAGACUUGUGCUUGCUCUUGCUCAUGGCACUCCUGUUGCUUCCUGGGUCUGAAGGUAAUACCUGCACGACGAUCAGCCGGACCUACAUUACUUUCUUAUGUGUGCGUGACACAUGCGUCAAGCACUGCCACGGCGAGGGCUACACAGCAGGGAAGUGUGUGAUCACCUCCUUAGAACCUCCCAUGUUAGUCUGCUUCUGCAUGAAACCCUGCUGA